rnacentral:rRNA from 1 species
GCUUUGAUCGGUACCCUGACAGGGCCAACGAGUUCAUCACCUUGGCCGAAAGGCCUGGGUAAUCUUGUUAAACCCUGUCGUGCUGGGGAUAGAGCAUUGCAAUUAUUGCUCUUCAACGAGGAAUGCCUAGUAAGCGCAAGUCAUCAGCUUGCGUUGAUUACGUCCCUGCCUUUUGUACACACCGUCCGUCGCUACUACCGAUUGAAUGGCU